rnacentral:rRNA from 1 species
GACGAACGCUGGCGGCGUGCUUAACACAUGCAAGUCGAACGGAAAGGCCCUGCUUUUGUGGGGUGCUCGAGUGGCGAACGGGUGAGUAACACGUGAGUAACCUGCCCUUGACUUUGGGAUAACUUCAGGAAACUGGGGCUAAUACCGGAUAGGAGCUCCUGCUGCAUGGUGGGGGUUGGAAAGUUUCGGCGGUUGGGGAUGGACUCGCGGCUUAUCAGCUUGUUGGUGGGGUAGUGGCUUACCAAGGCCUUGACGGGUAGCCGGCCUGAGAGGGUGACCGGCCACAUUGGGACUGAGAUACGGCCCAGACUCGUACGGGAGGCAGCAGUGGGGAGUAUUACACAGUAGGCGGAAGCCAGAUGCAACAACGCCGCGUGCGGGAUGAGGGCCUUCGGGUAGUGAACCGCUUUCGCCUGUGACGGGGCGUGAAUGACGGUAAUGGGUAAAGAAGCACCGGCUAACUACGUG